CGGCUACACUGCGGGCGCGGAACCGAGGCUGGGAGUUUGUGCAUUCAAGAUCCUAUAUCUAGGAUGUGUUGACUCUAGCCAAGGGAAAGCUGAGAAGUACCGUAAGAACUCGAUCAAGAUAAUACUUGCGUGAGGAACGUGCUGCCGCUACUCC
rnacentral:ncRNA from 1 species